UCCUACCACAGCCAUAUAUACAUGCUUGCUAGACUUUGAGCCACACAUUUACUUUUUACUGCUUAUGAGCAUUGAGUAUGGUCAAGCUGUGUAGACCCUUAGGAGCUUGUCAUGUGGUUAAAUCAAGAUUCACUUGCACGUUCACUCAUACAUGCUACUUCGACUCUAGAAGUACGCAUCCACAUACAUCCACUCAAUUCCAUCUCCAGAUUCACAUAAAAUUAUUCUACUCCUAAUCCGGGAGAGAAUAGCCAAAAACAUUAUCCUAUCCCUGUUAUUCCCUGUGAAAUAAAUGCUCGAGUUAUCUUGGUUACUACCACUUGCUAUAUUAUUUAAGGAGAUGAGUGCUCUAAAAAAAAGAGGAUACGAGGAAAUAAAAAGGAGCAAGUGCCCGAAACCUCGAAGAAAAGAAAAAGUGAGACGAGAGGUAAAAAUAGACAAGUGUCCGACAGUAGAAUUAGGGGUACAAUAUACCCACCUGAGAGGAAAGAAAAAAGAAAAUAUAGAGCAUCUCUUUCUCCCCAAAAAGCUUCAAAGUGCAAUAUCCCCUCAAAAGAGCAAAAGUAGAAUUAGACUUUCACCAUUAUUAUCACCAUCAUCACCAUACACCAUUCAUUCACCACACAUGCACAUCUUGAUUUGACUUAUUGACUCGUUUCUCUGGAUCCAUGGCUUGACUAUGCAAUAAAUGUCUUGUAAGUAUGUAUUAGCUGUCUCCCACCUAUGAGCUCCAGAUAUCAAUAC
rnacentral:lncRNA from 1 species